rnacentral:tRNA from 4 species
UACUCCCUGGUGUAACGGUAGCAUGUGGGGCUCUGACCCCCUUGGUCUAGGUUCGAAUCCUGGGGGAGUAGC